UCCCUAAACCACCUUUGGUACAUUGGCUCUUUUUCAUGAAUAUCAUUGAAAUAGUCAUUGUGGUUAAUAGUUUCAAUGUUAAAUUGGUGCCUGGCCUUGUACAUUUAUUUUAUUUUAUUUAUUUAUUUUUUGGAGCUUCACUGUUGUUUAUUGACACACAGGUGGGCUCUAUAGCAACAGGCCUGGAGGAGGCGGGUGGAGUGUGUGCGUGGAGUGCGGGUGCAGAGAACUGGUACACAGGUUGAGUGGGGAGGCUUGAGUAGGAUCUGGGAGCAACUGGGGCCAGGGCCAGAGUCUGGCACACCAGAUCCACUGUCCUGCAACAAGCUCUGGGCCUCCCUCCUCAUCCCUUGCUGGGAUGGGGACACACUGGGGGCUGCCAGCUCUGGACCACCAGCCCAAAAAGGUGCCAGAGAUGCAAUCUUCCCAGGUGUCCCAGCCCACCAGUGCCGCACUACAGCGGGGAUGGGGAAGGGGGCCGGAGAAGGGCUCCAGGGCCAUCAUGGCACAGGCACAACACACAUGGUGUUGGUGAAACCGGACCCAGGGUGCCACCCGGUCAGCACAAUGACCACAUCUCCUGUCUUGAAGAAGCCUCGAGUCUUGCCAACGUUCACGGCCAAGUUCACGCACAGGUCCACGUCCUCAGCCCAGGCCUGCUGCACGGGGAAGAUGCCAUGGUACAGGUGGGCCUGGUGCGCCAUCUGGGGAUUGCAGGUCACAGCAAUGACGGGGCACGGGGACGGUACCGUGCCACUUGGUGGGCAGACCUGCCGGACUUGGUGAGCACGAUAAUGGCCCCGCUGCAGCACUUGAACAAGGCCUCCACGGCACCCACGGCGGCGGCUUCUGUGGGGUCCCUGGUAAUAGGGGCCAGGCUGCGCAGCUCCUCAAAUAAUUGCAAGUGGUAGAUGGCAGCCUCUGCCUCUCGGGCAAUCAGGUGCUGCAUGAGCAUGGCCUCCAGCGGGUAGUUGCCCUUGGCUGUCUCUCCGGACAGCAUGAUGCAGUCCGCCCCAUCCAGAACAGCAUUAGCCACGUCGCUGCCCUCAGCCCGUGUGGGCCGCAGCUUCUUGAUCAUGCUCUCCAGCACCUGUGUGGCGCAGAUGACAGGCUUCCCGGCGCCGUUGCAGCGCCCAGUCAUCAUCUUCUGAGCCAGAAAGACCUUCUCUGCGGGAAUCUCAAUGCCGAGGUCACCAAGUGGCCUUGUACAUUUAUUGUAGACUAUCAUCCAAUUUUAUCGACUAUAAAUUAAGUUUUUAUAUUUCAGGCUGGGGAUUUAGCUCAGUGGUUCCGCCGCCUGCCUCACAAGUGCAAGGUACUGAGUUCGANNNNNNNNNNNNNNAAAGUUUUUAUAUCUCAGUGAAAUUGAGCUA
rnacentral:lncRNA from 1 species